GCAAGUGGCGCGGGAUGAUGCGGGUCUUCUUGUUGUCGCGGGCCGCGUUGCCAGCCAGUUCCAGGAUCUCGGCGGUUAGGUACUCCAACACCGCCGCCAGGUACACCGGCGCUCCGGCACCGACCCGCUCAGCGUAGUUGCCCUUGCGGAGCAGUCGGUGCACUCGGCCCACUGGGAACUGAAGACCCGCCCUUGAAGAACGGGUCUUAGCCUUGGCGCGAGCUUUGCCGCCCUGCUUGCCACGUCCCGACAUGACGUAAAAAAUUCAAUCAGUAACGUUCCUGAGACUGACGUAACGCUAAAGCUCCG
rnacentral:lncRNA from 1 species